CAUGUCUUUUUGAUUAUAAUUUAAAGUCUGACCUGCCCGAUGAAUAAUUUUAAAUGGCUGCGGUAUUUUGACCGUACAAAGGUAGCAUAAUAAUUAGUUUUUUAAUUGAGAACUGGAAUGAAGGGUCGAACGAAAAAAAUACUGUCUCAAUUUAAAUUUAAUUUGAAUUUUAUUUUUAAGUAAAAAAGCUUAAAUAAUUUUAAAAGACGAGAAGACCCUAUAGAGUUUUAUAUUAUAAUAUAUUUAUUAAAUUUUAAGUAUUUUAUUUUAUUAUAUAUUCUAGUAUUUAAUUGGGGUGAUUAAAAAAUUAACAUAACUUUUUUUUAUUAUUUACAUUUAUUUAUGAUUAUUUGAUCCAUUUUUUAUGAUUAUAAGAUUAAAUUACCUUAGGGAUAACAGCGUUAUUUUUUUUUAGAGUUCUUAUCGAAAAAAAAGUUU
rnacentral:rRNA from 1 species